UCGGAUUCAAUUUGGCAGAACUCCGUUUAUUUCGAACAGCUGUGCGCUGAUUUGUGGGGAUUUUCCAGGGAUUUGGGCAAACAAUAAUUGCUUUCAUUAAAACAGCAUCAGAUGAUCACCGAAGAAAAAAAGCAAAGCCAAAUGAGUGAGACAUUCAUAUUAAUGUCUAAAUUACAAAGCAAACGAGAAAUGCGGUAAAUUUUUCAAAACCAGAAAGUAACAACCCGAAAUUCGAAAUUUUCCUCGUUUUUUCUCUGUCGGGAAGUUGUGGGCGCAAACUGCAAAGGGAAUGAAAAUGCUGAUAAAUGAGCAAGAUAAGUGCUGGCGAUAACUCGGCGUAGACGUCGGAAUGUCUGACUCAGAUGGAGAACCAGAAAUCAAGAUCGGGAUCCAAUCUCUCACAUUUAUGCGCCGCUAAUUUCGGAUUUUAUUAAACGGUCAUCGCAGCAGCAGCAGCAGCAGCAGCGCAUAUAAAAAUCGGUAUUCCUACUCAUCUUUUCUCACUCAUUCCAUUUUUGAAUAUCAUCGUAAAUAAUUAAACAUACCGGGCACGUCGUUAUGGGUCUGCGGCAUAGGAAAAAAAGAACACAUAUAUAUGAAGUACUCAUAUUUAAUUUCAAUUUCAUGUCACAGACUUCUGGCUGCUUCUCGGCUGAUGCUGCAGAUAAUUAUUAUGCCGACUGCAUUAGAGUUCUUGGCUGGGAGCUCUGUUUGAAAUCCACAAACACUCCCAUUGCCAAUUGCAAUUAAGUGAAGUGACGGGCAAAAUGCGACUAGUAAUCAAAAAUCCU